rnacentral:lncRNA from 1 species
UGGAAUGUUAGAAAGGAGAAAAAGGUUUGAAAAGAACAAGAAAGGGUGACAGUGUGUCUCCCUAACCCUUAAGAAAGAAGCAAAUGACUUAAAAAGUCAAGAGAAUGUUUGCCAAAAUGAAGCAAAUGAAGUGCUAAAGGAAAGAUGGAACCUACCUAGACCAAAAAUCUCCUAACCUAAACCAAGGGGAUAUGGUUAGGCAAAUAUUUCGAUUUGGGGUUGCAGGUUGAUGGAACUUGUGUAGAGAUUGCAUAAGUAGGAGCUGAGCAAGGGGAUAUGGUUAAGCAAAUAUUUCAAUUUGAGCUAGAAGUAGAGGUUGCAUUUGGAAGAAGGUUGAAAGUGCUUCCCAAAUUAACCAACAAGAUUCUUCGUACCACAUUUGCCUCGAUAUCAUCACCUUCUGCUUGCAACAAUCUCAUACCGGUACUGAAUGCUUCAAAUAUGUCUGCCAUUAUAACCCCGUCGUUUAUGAAGAUUCGCAGCCAAAACAGUGUUCAAUGCUAGGCAACCUUUUAAAGGAAAAAUAAAACUUUACAAACAAAACUAAAGUGUUAGCGUAUUCAUCAUAAUGAAAUAAAAGCAUAAAAAUAAUAGAAUAUAUGAUUAUAUAGAUUAAUCCAUGUUAUGGUUAAGUAUGAGCCUUAAACUAGAAACGAUGGCCUAUGUUGCAAAAUGGAUGGACGAGAAUGACUUGUUAUCUAGACUUGGACAUGAAAUGAUUCUAAAUUUAUUUUUAGCAAUGGCAAAUCAUAAAGUUGUCGAGGCCUGAAAUAUGGUAUCAACCAAUUUGAGACUUACGGGAUAGUACCUCGACUCACAUGCCAAAACUUAGAAUUAACAGGUGCGUGAAGAUUAAUCUCGACGAUCCGAAAUAAGACGAUACAGAAACUUGAAUUGAAUAGGUAAAAAACUUUAGAAUAAUUUGACGAUGCAAAUUGACCAAAAUAGUGGCCUUCUAUUGUUCGGUAGAUUGCGCAAGUUUGGACAUCUACCAAUUUGUAAAUGAGAAUUGGCACGAAGGUUGAAACAUGUAGAAUAUUAAGUAGAUUUUAUGAAACAUAGAGCUAUGAGAAGAAUCAAAAGUAUGAAUAUUCUGUGAGGCACGAGUGGCAAUAUUUGAAAAAUAUGUAACUAUUGUUUAAGAAAAGAAUGUGAAUAAAAUUAACUCAUGGAUUAGAUGGGAAAAAUAUUUUCUAAUUAUGAAAUAUUAUGCCAGUUUUUUUUAAAGAAGUAGGGAUGAUAUCUUGCUACAGGGAGUAAGAUGCUCAUUGUAAAGAAAAUUCUUAAGGCAGGUUUAAGGCACGCAUAUCGAGGAAUUUCAUGACAAACCGAGCUUGUUGAAGAAAAUUUACGGGCAAAACGUCAUGAGUUAUAAAUAAUAGAAGACUGCCCAAAGACUGAAAAGAUAUCUUAAUUAGACUCUAGGAAAUGGAAUGGGCCUAAGAGAAAUUUGAGCUUAAGUAAAUACCCAAAGACUAAGCGAGACGAUUUCAGGNNNNNNNNNNNNNNNNNNNNNNNNNAAAGAUGUAAACAAGUUGGAUAGUUAAUACUUCCUUUUUCUGAAAAACAACAAAUAAUAUUAGUAAAAAUAAUAAAGUCGAGCAAGCAACACAGAGUAAGCAAGUAAGCAAGUAGGCAAGCAAAGCAUGUGACACAUUCCAAAGCAAAUAAUAACGCGUUCUAAUACGUGGGGAGGCCUCUUUGUGCCAGAGGUAGACCUAACAUAAAUUUGAAAGAUAAAUAUGUCAUUAUGUAUCAUUCCAUUGAUGUAAAUUAAUUAAAUAAGUCUAUUUUUCAAAAGAAAAUAAAGUAUAAUAGUAAAGUAUGAUUGCUUAAACCUUUUUUUGUAAUAAAAGAUCAAAAGAAAGUAUAUAUUUUCAUCAUGUCAAAACUUCUCGCUGAUUAUGUCAUUUGAAAACUUUACUACGUAUCAUAGAAAUAAUGACCAUGCUCCUUUACCUAAGAUUUAAUUAAUUUAGAGAAAAUGGUCCACAUAAUUGGCAUGUUAACCCUUCAAAUAAUGCACAUACACGUGAUAAAGUGUCACUUGGGGUUGAAAACUCACUUGGACAUUUAGGUAAGGUUAACUAAUGGUUUUAAUACACUUCGGGUAUUAAAUCACCUAAGGUUAAAAUGAUGCAUGCUUUUAAAAGGGUUUCAGUUUAGCUGUAUCUUAGGCUGACUAAGAAUGGGUUUUGCUAGACUGGUCAUCUCCCAAGUGGACAACUUGAGAGUGGAAAGCCUGUGACUGUCGAUUGCACCGUUGAUCGGCUUACCUACGAACUUUCCCCUAAAAGGUGUUUUAAGUAGUGCACGGCCGCAAACCACGUAACCGCAAAGUGUGUGCUUUGUGUGAAUUUUUCAGAAGUGGAGAAAGUGAAACGGAAUGACAAUUUAUAUAAAGCAAUAAGAACAGAUAUACAAUUCAUAAAAUACAGUUUAUCAUAUAAUGACAAUUCAAAUAAGCAUCAUAACAAUAAAAAACAAACAAAAUAAUUUUAAUUAUUAACCUAAGUUUGUUAUGGUUUAGAACCUAGAAUCCCCAGCGGAGUCGCCAUGUUGUUACACCUAACACGGGUCAAACUAGAGUAUAACAUAUUGGUAAUUCUGAAAGUUUAAUUAAUUAAGAGAGUCACCACCUAAUUAUUUUAACGGUGAAUUAGGACACCAAUUUUAACUAAGUAGUGUUUAAAGUUAAUUCUGUUUUAUAUGAUCUACUUAGUUUUAGAAGUUCUAGGUAAGGGUUCUGGUUAUCUCAAAAGGAAGGGGUAAGGCACCUUUUACGAUCCAUUAUAAAUAGUUAACCGGAUAAACUUAGGUUAAUUAUUAUAAGUAGAAAAUUUAAUAUUUUUAUACAUAGUUGAAAAAUAACAUGUGACUAUUUUAUAUACUAAAAUAUUACUAAAUGCAUAAAACUUGAGUUUGAUAUGCCAAAAAAACGCUACAAAGGCCAUUUUUCAGAAAACCUUAAUUACACUUGAACAUUGUAAGAAGCAAACUUUUUAUGGACAAAUGCUGACAAAGAAAGCUAAGUAUUUCCAAAAUUAAUGUGGAAAAAUAUUUUAGAAAUAAAUAAAUAAAGUCAUUAUCUCAAAUUGUUGAUUUUAAAAGCCCUUAAGACUCAUGUAAUUAAAAUCGGCGGUUUAUUAUUAUCUAAAGUAAAUGCCAUUAAACAAAAUAAGAUUUAGCUACCAAAUCUAAUAUAAGACAAACCCAAAAUAAAUCGACAAUCAUAAAGAAAUUAAAAAAAUGAUAAGAGAAAAGACAAAUAAAAGACGCCAUAGGCGUCCCCAAGCGUUUCGCUUGUUUUCUUGCAAUCCGAUGUAUUUUACGGACAACACGUAAUGUGAUUAAAUGCUUUACCGGUAAAGUAAAGCGAGAGACAGUCGAUCCUUUCUUAGGGUUCCAAGUAAUUCAACCAGUUGGGAAGGGGACAUGAUCAAUAGAACCUGGCUGGAUCCGGGCUGGGAUAGUGCCGCCCAUUCUUAACCAGUUCCGAAAGGGUUCGCUCAUGCUAGGCUCCAUGCUCGGGAUAUGGUGGGAGUCUUGCAUUAAGANNNNN